UACGUAGGGGGCGAGCGCUGUCCGGAAUCAUUGGGCGUAAAGAGCUCGUAGGCGGUUCAGCAAGUCGGCUGUGAAAUUCCGAGGCUCAACCUCGGAACUGCAGUCGAUACUGCUGUGACUCGAGUCCGGUAGAGGAGAAUGGAAUUCCCGGUGUAGCGGUGAAAUGCGCAGAUAUCGGGAGGAACACCAGUAGCGAAGGCGGUUCUCUGGGCCGGUACUGACGCUGAGGAGCGAAAGCGUGGGGAGCAAACAGG
rnacentral:rRNA from 1 species